ACUGAGACAGGAAAAUGAAGAAACUCUUAUUUACAUUGGUUUUCAUUGCCUGUAUUUUCUUUGUAUUCAGCUGAUCUUAUGUUAGAAAGCCUUCGGCCUGCUUUCGAAGUUAAAAGAUACCAUGUAGGCGGGUUGCGUUAGUGACAUAUUUCCUUCAGUUCCAUGAUAUUUUCAUCUGAAAGGAGACGAAAAACGGGAAGCCUGCAUAUGAUCCCAUUUUGUGUGAAUCGGAAGGAAAGGUCGUAAAGGAUCAAUAUCAAAGGAGACCCGUUGUAAGUUGGCACCGUGACAGGAAAAUGAGAAAACUCAUAUUGACAUUGGUUUUCAGUGCCUGUAUUGUCUACGUAUCUGGCCGAUCUUAUGUUAGUGAAACAAAAGCUCUCUUGGCAGAGAAGUGGGCUAGACGGAAAUUGCCCCCACUUUUGUUGGAAAGGAGCGACUCUGUGAAACUAAGCGAGAAGAGGCGAGUCAGCGCAAACAUGGUUCAUCAUCACUUCUCAUCGUCAGCCGGGUUUCGAUAGCUGAGUAGUCCCAGUGAAAUGAACGUCUGACGGCUGACACAGAAAGUUGAGAUAUAUGCAAAGAAGCCAUAACUGCUGCUGAAGUGAAUUUAAUCACUGAGGAGACCCGACAUAAAAGCUUGACUUGAAGGCCGCAGUUAGCAUUUAAAUGUAAUUAUUGAUAAUGAUAUUAAAAUUACAAUUAUAUUAAUAACAACAACAAUAAAAAUAAUGUCACCACAAUUAAUGUAAUAAGCCACAAGUAAAGUUCAGUAAAAAUAAUUACAAGGUUUUGCACGGUGGGUUAGCACAAGGUUUUGUUUCUGAGUUUUCU